AGAAUCAACGCUGGCGGCGUGCCUAACACAUGCAAGUCGCACGAGAAAGGGUAGCAAUACCUGAGUACAGUGGCGCACGGGUGAGUAACACGUGAAUAAUCUACCUCCGAGUGGGGAAUAACUGAGAGAAAUCUUAGCUAAUACCGCAUAAUACCCACGGGUCAAAGCAGCAAUGCGCUUGGAGAGGAGUUCGCGGCAGAUUAGUUAGUUGGCGGGGUAAUGGCCCACCAAGACGAUGAUCUGUAUCCGGCCUGAGAGGGCGCACGGACACACUGGAACUGAAACACGGUCCAGACUCCUACGGGAGGCAGCAGUGGGGAAUUUUGCGCAAUGGGGGAAACCCUGACGCAGCAACGCGCGUGGAGGAUGAAGCCCCUUGGGGUGUAAACUCCUUUCGAUCGGGAAGAUAAUGACGGUACCGAUAUAAGAAGCCCGGCUAACUUCGCGCCAGCAGCCGC
rnacentral:rRNA from 1 species